AAAUGAUGUAUAAACUUUACACAUCAAAAGUGUGAUUGGCUGCGUUUAAACAGGAAGCCAAAUUCGGAUAUUUUUCCAGGAUAAAAUAGGAUAAAAAGCACACAAGGAGAACAUAAGGAGUACAUUUACUUCAAACUUUUGCAGCAUAAUGACAAAUUGCUUUGAUAUGCCGAAGACUCAUGACAUCUGUUUAACGAAGCGAGAAGGAUCGGAGGACCAAAACGCAACGUGAAAAUAUCACAUGCCUACCGUUUUUUUUCUUUCUUCCUGGAAUGGGUACAACGGAAAAACAACAGACUGGUUGUGCCUGCCUGUGUGGUUGGGAGGAUUCGUGAUCUCCUGAUGGGAAGGAAAGAGGCUUCGUCGAGGUUGAUGAUGUGCUGGAGGAAUUGUAAUAGCGUGCAAUAAAAUCUGGAAACGGCAUGAA